rnacentral:rRNA from 1 species
UACGGGGGGGGGCAAGCGUUGUUCGGAAUUACUGGGCGUAAAGGGCUCGUAGGCGGCCAACUAAGUCAGACGUGAAAUCCCUCGGCUUAACCGGGGAAUUGCAUCCGAUACUGGAUGGCUUGAAUCCGGGAGAGGGAUGCGGAAUUCCAGGUGUAGCGGUGAAAUGCGUAGAUAUCUGGAGGAACACCGGUGGCGAAGGCGGCAUCCUGGACCGGCAUUGACGCUGAGGAGCGAAAGCCAGGGGGAGCCAAAGCGGG